CAUCUCCAAUGGGGUUGGCUAUAAUCGUCGGCUAAAUUGGACCUGUAAGACAUUAUGUAAAAGUUGUUGAACCUGUAAGACAUUGUGCUUCAAUGGUAUUGAUAAUAUUGGUUGGCUAUAAUCUAAAAAUAGUAUGUUAUUAAUAUUUUAGAUUGUUAAAAUAGAAUAUAUCAGUUUUAUAUGGUAAUAAAUGAUGGGCAAUCUUCCUACAGAUUUCUUACAGGCCUGUAGAGGUUCGACAAAUUUAGCCAUUCAUAGGAGCUUGGCUAAAAUUAUAGACAACAGAUCAAUGUGGUUGGAGUGUGAUUUUUUCAGGAGG
rnacentral:lncRNA from 1 species